UGGGGAAUAUUGCGCAAUGGGGGAAACCCUGACGCAGCGACGCCGCGUGAGCGAAGAAGGCCUUAGGGUUGUAAAGCUCUGUUUUAGGGGACGAAAGUUAUGGGGAGUAAAAUGCACUAUAAAAGACGGUACCCUAAGAGGAAGCCCCGGCUAACUACGUGCCAGCAGCCGCGGUAAGACGUAGGGGGCGAGCGUUGUCCGGAAUUACUGGGCGUAAAGAGCACGUAGGCGGGAACUUAAGUCAGAUGUGAAAGACCGGGGCUCAACUCCGGGGUUGCAUAUGAAACUGGGUUUCUUGAGGGCAGGAGAGGAAAGCAGAAUUCCUGGUGUAGCGGUGAAAUGCGUAGAAAUCAGGAGGAACACCGGUGGCGAAGGCGACUUUCUGGACUGACCCUGACGCUGAGGUGCGAAAGCGUGGGUAGCAAACAGG
rnacentral:rRNA from 2 species